UGGAUUCUAAAGAGCCGCAGUAUUCUAACUGUGCUAAGGUAGCAUAAUCAUUUGUUAUCUAAUUAAUAACUAGAAUAAAAGGAUUGACAAGAAUUUUACUCUCUUCUCUUUAAAAUAAAAAUUUAUUUAUAAGUAAAAAAGCUUAAAAAUUUUAGAAAGACGACAAGACCCUAGAACCUUAAAUCUUGUUUUACUGGGAAGGUAAAAAUUUAUUUCAAUUUGUAUUUAAACAUAAUGAAUGGUUUUUUUUUAACUUAUCUAAAAUAAAAAUAAGGUACUCUAGGGAUAACAGCAAAAUUUUUUUUUAGAGCUCUCAUCGACAAAAAAGAUUUUGACCUCGAUGUUGAAUUAUUAUUACUUUUAGAAGCAAAAUCUAAA
rnacentral:rRNA from 1 species